rnacentral:rRNA from 1 species
GAUGAACGCUGGCGGCGUGCCUAACACAUGCAAGUCGAACGGAGUCCAGCUUUAGAGACCUUCGGGUCAAAGAGGGGAAGACUGAGUGGCGGACGGGUGAGUAACACGUGGGCAACCUGGCUCAUAGAGGGGGAUAACAGAGAGAAAUUUCUGCUAAUACCGCAUAAGCACACACUGCCGCAUGGCAGAGGGUGAAAAGAGAAUCGCUAUGAGAUGGACCCGCGUCUGAUUAGCCAGUUGGCAGGGUAAGAGCCUACCAAAGCGACGAUCAGUAGCCGAUCUGAGAGGAUGAACGGCCACAUUGGGACUGAGACACGGCCCAAACUCCUACGGGAGGCAGCAGUGGGGGAUAUUGCACAAUGGGGGGAACCCUGAUGCAGCGACGCCGCGUGAGUGAAGAAGUAUUUCGGUAUGUAAAGCUCUAUCAGCAGGGAAGAUAAUGACAGACCUGAAUAA